AGCGGCCUGGCGGUGGGCG
rnacentral:miRNA from 1 species